AUUCUGGAAACAGCACCACUUCUUGAAGAUCUGGAAAGGAUCACCGAAACAUAGACUCACUGAGGCUGUAAGGGACCACUGAAAAUGGCUCACAUAGCUCCAAGUUGUACAGCCUUGUAUGGACAGUGAACGAACCGCUGUGUUACUCAAAAUACUGGCUUUUACCCACAGUAAUCUUCAGAAGGUGCUGACAUUCACUAAUUCAGGAGAUGAGGCAGAAAUGGUUCAUCGGG